rnacentral:rRNA from 1 species
UUAAGCGACUAAGCGUACACGGUGGAUGCCCUGGCAGUCAGAGGCGAUGAAGGACGUGCUAAUCUGCGAUAAGCGUCGGUAAGGUGAUAUGAACCGUUAUAACCGGCGAUUUCCGAAUGGGGAAACCCAGUGUGAUUCGUCACACUAUCAUUAACUGAAUCCAUAGGUUAAUGAGGCGAACCGGGGGGACUGAAACAUCUAAGUACCCCGAGGAAAAGAAAUCAACCGAGAUUCCCCCAGUAGCGGCGAGCGAACGGGGAGCAGCCCAGAGCCUGAAUCAGUGUGUGUGUUAGUGGAAGCGUCUGGAAAGGCGCGCGAUACAGGGUGACAGCCCCGUACACAAAAAUGCACAUGCUGUGAGCUCGAUGAGUAGGGCGGGACACGUGGUAUCCUGUCUGAAUAUGGGGGGACCAUCCUCCAAGGCUAAAUACUCCUGACUGACCGAUAGUGAACCAGUACCGUGAGGGAAAGGCGAAAAGAACCCCGGCGAGGGGAGUGAAAAAGAACCUGAAACCGUGUACGUACAAGCAGUGGGAGCACAGAGCAAUCUGUGUGACUGCGUACCUUUUGUAUAAUGGGUCAGCGACUUAUAUUCUGUAGCAAGGUUAACCGAAUAGGGGAGCCGAAGGGAAACCGAGUCUUAACUGGGCGUUAAGUUGCAGGGUAUAGACCCGAAACCCGGUGAUCUAGCCAUGGGCAGGUUGAAGGUUGGGUAACACUAACUGGAGGACCGAACCGACUAAUGUUGAAAAAUUAGCGGAUGACUUGUGGCUGGGGGUGAAAGGCCAAUCAAACCGGGAGAUAGCUGGUUCUCCCCGAAAGCUAUUUAGGUAGCGCCUCGUGAAUUCAUCUCCGGGGGUAGAGCACUGUUUCGGCAAGGGGGUCAUCCCGACUUACCAACCCGAUGCAAACUGCGAAUACCGGAGAAUGUUAUCACGGGAGACACACGGCGGGUGCUAACGUCCGUCGUGAAGAGGGAAACAACCCAGACCGCCAGCUAAGGUCCCAAAGUCAUGGUUAAGUGGGAAACGAUGUGGGAAGGCCCAGACAGCCAGGAUGUUGGCUUAGAAGCAGCCAUCAUUUAAAGAAAGCGUAAUAGCUCACUGGUCGAGUCGGCCUGCGCGGAAGAUGUAACGGGGCUAAACCAUGCACCGAAGCUGCGGCAGCGACGCUGAUGCGUUGUUGGGUAGGGGAGCGUUCUGUAAGUCUGCGAAGGUGUGCUGUGAGGCAUGCUGGAGGUAUCAGAAGUGCGAAUGCUGACAUAAGUAACGAUAAAGCGGGUGAAAAGCCCGCUCGCCGGAAGACCAAGGGUUCCUGUCCAACGUUAAUCGGGGCAGGGUGAGUCGACCCCUAAGGCGAGGCCGAAAGGCGUAGUCGAUGGGAAACAGGUUAAUAUUCCUGUACUUGGUGUUACUGCGAAGGGGGGACGGAGAAGGCUAUGUUGGCCGGGCGACGGUUGUCCCGGUUUAAGCGUGUAGGCUGGUUUUCCAGGCAAAUCCGGAAAAUCAAGGCUGAGGCGUGAUGACGAGGCACUACGGUGCUGAAGCAACAAAUGCCCUGCUUCCAGGAAAAGCCUCUAAGCAUCAGGUAACAUCAAAUCGUACCCCAAACCGACACAGGUGGUCAGGUAGAGAAUACCAAGGCGCUUGAGAGAACUCGGGUGAAGGAACUAGGCAAAAUGGUGCCGUAACUUCGGGAGAAGGCACGCUGAUAUGUAGGUGAAGCGACUUGCUCGUGGAGCUGAAAUCAGUCGAAGAUACCAGCUGGCUGCAACUGUUUAUUAAAAACACAGCACUGUGCAAACACGAAAGUGGACGUAUACGGUGUGACGCCUGCCCGGUGCCGGAAGGUUAAUUGAUGGGGUCAGCGCAAGCGAAGCUCUUGAUCGAAGCCCCGGUAAACGGCGGCCGUAACUAUAACGGUCCUAAGGUAGCGAAAUUCCUUGUCGGGUAAGUUCCGACCUGCACGAAUGGCGUAAUGAUGGCCAGGCUGUCUCCACCCGAGACUCAGUGAAAUUGAACUCGCUGUGAAGAUGCAGUGUACCCGCGGCAAGACGGAAAGACCCCGUGAACCUUUACUAUAGCUUGACACUGAACAUUGAGCCUUGAUGUGUAGGAUAGGUGGGAGGCUUUGAAGUGUGGACGCCAGUCUGCAUGGAGCCGGCCUUGAAAUACCACCCUUUAAUGUUUGAUGUUCUAACGUUGACCCGUGAUCCGGGUUGCGGACAGUGUCUGGUGGGUAGUUUGACUGGGGCGGUCUCCUCCUAAAGAGUAACGGAGGAGCACGAAGGUUGGCUAAUCCUGGUCGGACAUCAGGAGGUUAGUGCAAUGGCAUAAGCCAGCUUGACUGCGAGCGUGACGGCGCGAGCAGGUGCGAAAGCAGGUCAUAGUGAUCCGGUGGUUCUGAAUGGAAGGGCCAUCGCUCAACGGAUAAAAGGUACUCCGGGGAUAACAGGCUGAUACCGCCCAAGAGUUCAUAUCGACGGCGGUGUUUGGCACCUCGAUGUCGGCUCAUCACAUCCUGGGGCUGAAGUAGGUCCCAAGGGUAUGGCUGUUCGCCAUUUAAAGUGGUACGCGAGCUGGGUUUAGAACGUCGUGAGACAGUUCGGUCCCUAUCUGCCGUGGGCGCUGGAGAACUGAGGGGGGCUGCUCCUAGUACGAGAGGACCGGAGUGGACGCAUCACUGGUGUUCGGGUUGUCAUGCCAAUGGCACUGCCCGGUAGCUAAAUGCGGAAGAGAUAAGUGCUGAAAGCAUCUAAGCACGAAACUUGCCCCGAGAUGAGUUCUCCCUGACUCCUUGAGAGUCCUGAAGGAACGUUGAAGACGACGACGUUGAUAGGCCGGGUGUGUAAGCGCAGCGAUGCGUUGAGCUAACCGGUACUAAUGAACCGUGAGGCUUAACCUU